rnacentral:rRNA from 1 species
UACAGAGGUCUCAAGCGUUGUUCGGAUUCAUUGGGCGUAAAGGGUGCGUAGGCGGCGCGGUAAGUCGGGUGUGAAAUCUCGGGGCUUAACUCCGAAACUGCAUUCGAUACUACCGUGCUUGAGGACUGGAGAGGAGACUGGAAUUUACGGUGUAGCGGUGAAAUGCGUAGAUAUCAGGAGGAACACCAAUAGCGAAGGCAGCUCGCUGGGACGUUACUGACACUGAGGCGCGAAAGCGUGGGGAGCGAACAGG